GUUCAGGACUUGCGGCUGACCAAAGACAUGGAGACCUUCAAAAACAAUGCCCUACAGGUUGUGAAAAAUACAAUGACGAUACCUCGGAUUAUUCUGACUCACCCCUCUACCUCAGAUGAGGACGUGGAGCCCCUGACGCAGGGCCCAGAUGAUGGAGAUUUUGAUUCGGACUUCAGCGACUCGGACGGUCACUUCUACUCGGACUGCUUGAACAGUGCUUUCUAUCCUCUGUGAAAGAUAGAGAAGCACACAGGCUCCAGAUGUGCCUGUGUCCUUCGGUUAAGUGAAACUGUGGUCCACAACCACCUGAGCAGUAAACGAGUGGCGCGGGAUCGAUACUUCAGGCAAAGUCCGCAGUAACAUGAUGCACUGUUUAGAACACCAUUGUGUGAAGGUGAUAUAGAGGAAGUGGAAAGAAAUAUUUUUCUAAAAUGUUGCUUAUUUGAAUUGUUCACGCUCUUAAAUCGACCUUACUUGCUUUGUGUAUGCUUCAUUGAAAUGUUUUUACUUACACCAUUUAUAACUUGCCAAAAAAUGAAAUAAACUUUAAAUGUGA